GAUGAACGCUGGCGGCGUGCCUAAUACAUGCAAGUCGAGCGAACGGACGAGAAGCUUGCUUCUCUGAUGUUAGCGGCGGACGGGUGAGUAACACGUGGAUAACCUACCUAUAAGACUGGGAUGACUUCGGGAAACCGGAGCUAAUACCGGAUAAUAUUUUGAACCGGAUGGUUCAAAAGUGAAAGACGGUCUUGCUGUCACUUAUAGAUGGAUCCGCGCUGCAUUAGCUAGUUGGUAAGGUAACGGCUUACCAAGGCAACGAUGCAUAGCCGACCUGAGAGGAUGAUCGGCCACACUGGAACUGAGACACGGUCCAGACUCCUACGGGAGGCAGCAGUAGGGAAUCUUCCGCAAUGGGCGAAAGCCUGACGGAGCAACGCCGCGUGAGUGAUGAAGGUCUUCGGAUCGUAAAACUCUGUUAUUAGGGAAGAACAUAUGUGUAAGUAACUGUGCACAUCUUGACGGUACCUAAUCAGAAAGCCACGGCUAACUACGUG
rnacentral:rRNA from 1 species